ensembl:lncRNA
GCUGGUUUCUGUGGUGUAAAGACUCCCACGAUGUCCUAUUUUAAGCUGCUAACGCGAGGUCACUGAAUGCAGAGUUGGAAAAAGACAUAUGGGCACCCAUCACGGUGUCGUAUUUCCACCACGGUUAUGUAGUAGACAUGAAUGACCUCAAGAGCUGAGAAAGAAUUACAUGCAAUAGAAUAAUCAGGACGUGGUGACAUCUGGUCCUGGGAUAAGGAGACUCUGGUUAACAAGGAGUCAUGGGAUAUGCCUAGCAGAGAAUGUCCACAAACCCACCAGGGACUGCUCCAAUGUGUGGGCCCACACAGUUAGGGGGAGUCUCGUUGCUGAGUCCUCCUCCCCCCUCUGCAAAUGUGAAAAGUGAACGCAAUUGCAUGUGCCGGAGGAGAGAGCCCCAAAUGGUUGGUUCCUUGGUGGGGGGCACAUCCUGAGCCGUGUGGUAAUCUUGGAAGCCGGAGAUUAAGAAAUGCUGCACUGGGAGUUUCCAUUCAGGAGGUGGAAGAGGCAGGCACAGAGCAGAAGUUUCUGUUUUCAGAAUGUGGCACAUUUGAGGAAGUCACAGCACAAAGCAAUGAAUGAAAAAAGAAUACAUUUCAUAUAAAACGGGUGCAAUUUAGGUACUUUGAGAGUCUGGAGUUUGAGCUUUCUGCACAUUAAGAGCAGAAGGUGUCUGGUUCACACCCAGGCCCAGUAUACACAGGUUUAUUCAGAGGUAAACACCAACCACAGCUGAGAAGAGACCAGGAAGCAGCGGGUUUCUCACCCCAACCCCCACCGGAGGACUCCAUCUCUGCCCCAGGCCCAUGGCCUUCCUAUCAUUGCCAUGAGAGCAAAAGUUGGUGAGUACAGUGAGGUCCCCAAAGGGGUGUAUGCCUGUGUGUGUGUGUGUGUGUGUAUUUGUGUAUGCACGCAGCUGUGUCCAACUUUUUGUGACCCCGUGGACUAUAGCCCUCCAGGCUCCUCUGUCCAUGGGAUUUCCCAGGCAAGAAUACUGGAGUGGGUUGCCAUUUCCUUCUCUAGUCCCCAAAGUUGA